AUAGUACUUCCUUCGUCCAAAAAUGCUUGUCAUAGGAGUGAAUGUAUUUAGAUAUAUUUUAAUUCUAAAUAUAUCUAUUUUUAUACAUUUAUAUGAUAAGUAAUUUUGGAUGGAGCGAGUAUUAA
rnacentral:pre_miRNA from 1 species